UUUCCUCUCUCCCACAAGCACAACGCUUGUUCAGACAUCCAUACGCACUACUCCCCAAAUCCUGUGCUUAACAGGUCUCUCCUGAGCACACAGGAGCGCCGGGGCAAGCGUCGCCUGGGACUACGAAGCGAAUGCCACACCAGGCCUGGCCCUGGGAGCCCGCCUCCGGUGGGGGACGCAGGUGCUGAAGACAUAACCACAUGACCAAACUAUCUGACACCAACGUGUACUCACUUCAGUCUCUCACCCGGGACCACGCAGCCAGCAGCUCCUCCCUGCCAGGGAUCAUGGCUUAGCGAGGCCCACCACAGCGACUCGGAGCUGCCUGGCUCUGCAGGAGGAGGCCCUUGCAGGGAUAGUGGUGGCAACUGCACUGCAAUGAACAAAACUGGUUUCUAAGUGUUGCUAAUAAUUCCCAGGAUCACGCACGGCUCUAGAAAGCACCACAAUAACUAUUCCUUCAGAACGUCUUGGCAGAGGAGACACGGGGUGACUCUGCGCCUUUCACCCAGGGGGAAUCAUGUCUGGGCUGAAUACAAGGACAAAGGAGACAGAAGCCUGGGGGGUGUCGGCUGGGGCAGUAGAGGUCAGAGCCAAGGGCCUGAAGGUCAUAUCAAGGAGUCUGAAUUUUGUUGUAUACAACACAGAGGGGUGUGGGAGAUUGGUAAGCGGAGAAGAGAACAGUAAGAGACGGUGUACCAGA